GUGCUCACUUUGGCGGCAUAGAUAUUAAAAACUGGAAUAAUACAGAGGUUAGCAUGGCUCCUGUGCAUGCAUGACAUGCAAAUUCUGAAGCAUUUCAUAUUUUU
rnacentral:snRNA from 4 species